UUCCUUUUGUGUGGUGCGAGACUAUAAAUAGGUUGCUUCCCCUUCCUUCUCUGUGGCCAUCUCUCGCGUUUGCAUCUCAUCAAGGCACCACCGACAAAUUCAGAAACUACACAGAUCUAGCAGCUUGGCUAGCAUAGCUGUGGCGGCUGCACUCGCACUAGCUAGCUAGCGUUGUCCUGGUAGUUUAUCAAUAGAUUGAUGGCCACUUCUUAAAAAAAGAACUUUCUUAGUAGCCUGUGAUUUUUCGACUGAUGGUCAUGCUCAGGUUCAGAGAUAUGUUUACGAAUCACAGGAGUAGGAGCAAUGUUUGCAGGGUAAGUUGAGCGACUUCUUUGUUCCCUUCCUUUAAAAACGUUCAGUUUUAUGUUGUUAGUUGAUUCAAGGGCUUACUUUUUCAAGUGUCUAUGCAAAAUGGAUAGUUGGAUCACUCUAACUGCUAAAGAAGACGGAUUAAAAGGGUUUGGUCUACGUGAUAGAGCUCGGCUAUUGAAGAAUUCGUAACCAAGCCAGAUAAAUUAAUCAUGGAAAUUUGGAUAGGGGAAAAUUUCAAAUUUAUAUAAUUGUGAAAAGCCAUUGUUACUAUUCUGACAUCCUGAUCAUCUACAUUUUCGCCUGAAGGUUAAGAGGAUGGAAGUAUUCAUUUCUGUAGUAUGUUUCUUAGUUUUGUUUAUUUUAGAUGCAUCAUUCUUUUGCACAUCAGCUUAACUAAAAGUUAGAACUUUAGUUUUCUUUCAAAAAAUACAUAAUCGGCCUUAGGGUUGACUGAAUGUUAGAACUUCACUUUUAUCUGAAAAAAGUACAUAAUCAGCAUUAGGGUUCAGGGAACUGCUUUGUUUUUCUAGAACCAGACCAACACUGCCUUUAACAAGUUUCAGAGUCUAGCAUGUAAAGUUUUAUGUACUGUACAUUAGAUUUGAAUUAUUUGACAAGAAGAAACUCCAUGAGAAACAAAUAUCAUGCAAAAGCUCUUCUUUUGUGUUUUCUUACCCAGAUAGAAACCUGUCCAAAUCUGUUUUCUUUAGGCCUUCCAGUGCCAUUAUUAAGAACAUCACACCUAUAAGCUUCUGCUUUUACACAAGCCUUUCCUCCUGUAUUCACUAAAGCAUAGAAUGAUAUAUUUUUUAUAGUUGAUUCAGAUUAUCUAGAUGCGCCAAAGAAGUGAUAUGCUUUUUUUUAGCAAAAAACGGACCAAUCGGGUGCUGCCACGCCAAUUAGUGGUGCGGUUACGAUUCUGGGUGUGCCUACCGAUUAUUGGUGGUUGUGUUGGACAUUCCUUUUGCCUUGCCUGCGAUUCGCUUUUGUAGAGCGCCGGGGUUGCAUGCAGAUCCCAAGUUUUGCGCCAUGCAAAUCACGAUUUGACUACGUGCAUGUCUUUCUUUUCUUAUUCUUUUUUCUUUGAUUUGCUUCGAUCUGCUCAGGCGGUUGUAGCGUUGGCUGAUUGAGUUGUUGACAUGUGAUUUAUCCGGUCUAACGUGUCGUUUUGAUCUUCCACGCGGGGUGUUCUGGAGUGGCAAAGCAUAGGGAGAACGAUUCAGUUCGUCAUUCUGCUUCUUUUUUUUUUGCGGGGAAGUCUGCUUCUGAUUAGUACAUGGCAACUUUAUGCACGACGCUGUCGCCGGCGAGGAGCACGUGAGACGACGCAUCCCCAUGCGCUGCAAGCUAUGGCUCGCGACUCCAUGGUCGAAGCAAGCUAUCGCCCACAACGUGUAAAAACACAAAGCUAUGUUCUCCAAUGACUGACAAACCUAAUUAUACAUCAACGAUUCUCGAACGCUCAAGCAAAGAAAUGAUAUCCAAAUUAGCAACCAAUCAAACAGUCAAAAAAGUUGGUGGUUCAAGUUGUAUGGAGCAAUUCCAGUCAAAACUCAUUAUUUUCAAGAUUUAUAUUCUAACUCAUCUUUCACCAAUUCUGUAUACUUGCUAAACAGUAUGGUUUAACCCCCUUCUCAUAUUUGUUGUAUGUGGGCACCAACACUAAACAAUAUGGGUUUACCCCUUCUCGUAUUUACCCUCUUCUCAUAUUUGUUUUAUGCAGGCAUCAAGUUGCAGUGAAUUUGGAUGACACGCUAUUAACUUACAUAAUAAGAUUCUUAAGGGUGAAAAAAGGCCACUAGCUAUGUUUCUCUGUGCUGUAUAUCUGUUUUUUCUCUAAAUGUUAUAAGAUAAUGACCAGCCUAAAAGCUCAUUGAGGAAGGAAGUUAUCAUCGUAGCAUACCCUUUGUUUUAUAGAAUGGCGUGAUGUGAAUAAAUGAAACUUAUUAAAGAUGUAUUAACGUGUAUUUCUCUGUUUUGCAACAUGCAGCAUGCAUGAUACUAAUAAUAUAUCUCUUCAUAGUUUAUCUUCCUACGUUGGGUGUUCUCUUAUUUUAAACCAAUAACAUUUGUUGUAAAUAGUAAACAUAUUUCAUAUGGAUACAUCUUUAAUAAGUUUCAAUCGAGAGGCAGAAAAUCCUCAAGACAUGGUUGUACCUGGUAUUUCUACACCCUAACAACCGGUGUGUGGAAUGGAAGCGGUCAAGGCCAAGAUCAUCUAUUUAAAAUGGACUUGCAGUACUGAUCUAGUUCCAGUGGUUACAAUCAUUGGUUUAGGGUUGCUUACAAUCAUUUCAGAUG
rnacentral:lncRNA from 1 species